GACUGUGCAAGGUAGCAUAAUCAUUAGUUUUUUAAUUGAAGACUUGAAUAAAUGGUUAAAUGAGAUAUUUAUUGUUUCUUUAUAUUUUUUAUUUAAUUUUAUAUUUUAGUUAAAAAGCUAAAAUUUUUAUUAAAGACGAGAAGACCCUAUAAAGCUUUAUAUUUUUAAAAAGAUUUUUAAUAAAAUAAUUUGAAAGAUUUUAUUUAAAAAUAUUUUAUUGGGGUGAUAAAAAAAUUUAAUAAACUUUUUUUUUAUUUUCAUUUAUUUAUGUUUUAAAAUUUAUUUUUUAAAAAUAAUUAUUUUUGAUCCUUUAUUUAUGAUUAAAAGUUUAAGUUACUUUAGGGAUAACAGCGUAAUUUUUUUGGAGAGUUCAAAUUUAUAAAAAAGAUUGCGACCUCGAUGUUGGACUAAGAGUAAAUUUUAGGUGUAGAAGUUUAAAAUUUUAAGUCUGUUCGACUUUUUAUUCUUACGUGAUCUGAGUUCAAACCGGUGUAAGCCAGG
rnacentral:rRNA from 1 species